rnacentral:rRNA from 1 species
AUUGAACGCUGGCGGCAUGCCUUACACAUGCGAGUCGAACGGUAACAGGUCUUCGGAUGCUGACGAGUGGCGAACGGGUGAGUAAUACAUCGGAACGUGCCCGAUCGUGGGGGAUAACGAGGCGAAAGCUUUGCUAAUACCGCAUACGAUCUACGGAUGAAAGCGGGGGAUCUUCGGACCUCGCGCGGACGGAGCGGCCGAUGGCAGAUUAGGUAGUUGGUGGGAUAAAAGCUUACCAAGCCCACGAUCUGUAGCUGGUCUGAGAGGAUGAUCCGCCACACUGGGACUGAGACACGGCCCAGACUCCUACGGGAGGCAGCAGUGGGGAAUUUUGGACAAUGGGCGAAAGCCUGAUCCAGCCAUGCCGCGUGCAGGAUGAAGGCCUUCGGGUUGUAAACUGCUUUUGUACGGAACGAAAAGCCUCUUUCUAAUAAAGAGGGGUCAUGACGGUACCGUAAGAAUAAGCACCGGCUAACUACGUG